UACGGAGGAUCCAAGCGUUAUCCGGAUUUAUUGGGUUUAAAGGGUGCGUAGGUGGCUUAUUAAGUCAGGGGUGAAAGACGGUAGCUUAACUAUCGCAGUGCCCUUGAUACUGAUGAGCUUGAAUGAACUAGAGGUAGGCGGAAUGUGACAAGUAGCGGUGAAAUGCAUAGAUAUGUCACAGAACACCAAUUGCGAAGGCAGCUUACUAUGGUUUUAUUGACACUGAGGCACGAAAGCGUGGGGAUCAAACAGG
rnacentral:rRNA from 1 species